rnacentral:lncRNA from 1 species
AUAUAAAAAUGGUUUGUGUUUUCCAGCAAAGUAAAACGUGCCGUUACUAUAAAGAAAUCUCCCAAUUAAGUAAAAAGCUCAGAGAACGUAUGCGAUAAAUAAACGUAGAUUAUAGUUCUCUCUUGUGUUUGAAUACGCUCAGAUCUGUUAAUUUCAUACAUCGGGGUGCUUUGUCGCUAUGCGAGAGAAAGUCUGCUAAGAACUAAUGUCUAUGAGGCAGGGCGAAAUUAUGGCUGGUUUAUAAAGAACGUGAAAACUCCAUGUUAUACAUUUAAAAAUAAGUUUGUAAACACGUGAAAGUAUGAAGACUAUAAGAACGAAAACGCUUAUCUUGAAUUAGGCUAAAAUUUAGUUUAUAUAUGUACCUUUAAUUUCAAAUCACACUGGCACCAAAAGAUUAUCAACUCUUAUAUUGGAGCCUUGUAAAGUUUGUCAAGCAACCUAAAUCUUAUUGUUUUGUUUUGAGCUCAAGCCAAAAAUGCACUAAGUUUUGCCGUCUUGGGAAUCCAUUCUGGGACCUUUUCACAUAACUGGAAUUUUCGGAGCUUAUGCGAUCCACCUUGGGGCUUUUAAGAUAAUGCAUGGCAACUCAGAGACUUAUUUAGGCUAUCCACCUUGGGGCUUUUGAGAUAAUGCAUGGCAACUCUGAGACUUAUUUAGGCGAUCCACCUUGGGGCUUUUGAGAUAUUGCAAGGGAAUUCUGAGACUUAUUUAGGUUAUACAUUGAGGAGCUUCCGAAAUAGUGAAUAGAUGCAAUUUUGUAAUACUUUUUAAAUUUCAAUUGAAUUUUUUAGCAUUUUAUGUUUAUAAUUUUUUGAGUAUUAUUCUGUUAUUAUAUACAUACUUAUUUCAUAUCUGUAUUUCUGCAUUUAGGCAGAAAAUCAGUGUUGAACAAUUAUACUCGAAGAUAUCCGAUAACAAAAUAAUAAUAUACUAAAAAAUUAAAAAUGUA